rnacentral:SRP_RNA from 1 species
GCCGGGCCUGGUGGCGUGUGCCUGUAAUCCCCGCUGCCCGGGAGGCUGAGGCAGGAGGAUCGCUUGAGUCUCGGAGUUCUGGGCUGUAGUGCGCUAUGCCGGUUGGGUGUCUGCACUAAAUCCAACAUCAAUAUGGCGACCUCCCGGGAGUGGGGGACCACCAGGUUGCCCAAGGAGGGGUGAACUGGCCCAGGUCGGAAACGGAGCAGGUCAAGAUUACUUCUCCCCACUUCCCGCUUCUUUCCCCAGCCCAUGACCACAUAGUUCAUAUGCCAG